GACGAACGCUGGCGGCGUGCUUAACACAUGCAAGUCGAACGCUGAAGCUCAGCUUUUGUUGGGUGGAUGAGUGGCGAACGGGUGAGUAACACGUGAGUAACCUGCCCCCUUCUUUGGGAUAACGACCGGAAACGGGUGCUAAUACUGGAUAUUCACUGGUCUUCGCAUGGGGGUUGGUGGAAAGGGUUUUUCUGGUGGGGGAUGGGCUCGCGGCCUAUCAGCUUGUUGGUGGGGUGAUGGCCUACCAAGGCUUUGACGGGUAGCCGGCCUGAGAGGGUGACCGGUCACAUUGGGACUGAGAUACGGCCCAGACUCCUACGGGAGGCAGCAGUGGGGAAUAUUGCACAAUGGGCGCAAGCCUGAUGCAGCGACGCCGCGUGAGGGAUGGAGGCCUUCGGGUUGUGAACCUCUUUCGCUCAUGGUCAAGCCGCAACAAUGGUUGUGGUGAGGGUAGUGGGUAAAGAAGCGCCGGCUAACUACGUG
rnacentral:rRNA from 1 species